GAAAUGGCGGGGCAUGGUCGAGGGUCUCGUGGCACUUUCCAAAAAGGUGAGGCAACGUCGAUGGACAGUGUGCCUGUUGGAAGAGUCCUCAGUGUUACAGCUUGGAAAGACACCAAUGGGCGCGUCAUAUUAGUGCGAAUUCUGCAACUAUUCUCAGAGACAACUGUUGGUGGUUUAACCUGAGCAUCACCACACCUUGAGCAAGAGGAGAGAUGGAGAGGAGAAUCCUUCGUGGUAGCCUAAGGCAACGUGUAAUGACAGCAGAUUUAAAGAAUAGAGGACCUGAAGAUGUAACUAUUUCAAUAUUACCUAACAUGGAAGUGGAGGUGAUAUCAUCAGAAAUGGGAAUGGCAGUCUGCAGUGAGAAUGCAGCGUGGAGACACAGGGAGAUCAAGCCCAGUGCGGGAGAAAGAUUGAGCCCACGUGAGGAAAGCCCAGCACGGAGUGACUGCAGGUCCAUGGCUAACGAAAGAUUGCAAUUUGGAACUUUUAACUUUAUUUCUUAUUUACUGCUUUAUACUGCUUUAUUGUUCUACUUUCUCCCUAAGAUUUUGUACCUGUGGAACCUUAUACUUAAGAUGGUGCCGUGAAUGGCGACAUUAUAUACUUUUCACUGUGCUCCUGUAUCCCUAUACUUGCAUACAUAUGACAAUAAAACUUUAUAAAUAAAACCUGUUAUUUCCAAUGAAAGAAAGAAAACCAAAAAAAUCAUAAUUUACUAACAUUCUGGUAUUGGUGAGAAAGGACCACGCAGUGUGUCGAUAAGAAAAGCUGACGUACAUUGUGACUAAUGCCACUGCAGUCUCGUGCUGCAUGUAUCCUGCAGCAUUCUAGCUGAAGGAGGUGCUGACUUCAUCAGUAGUUCAACUGACAGAGAACCACCUUGAGGCAAUUUCUUCAUUGCACCGCAGAAAGUACAACUGCUGCAUCAAUAUAUAAGUUUAAGCCUAUGGCAGAGAACAUUUCCCUGUAAUGGAAAUUGCUGCUAGCUACCAAAUGUUUCUGGUUCCUAAAGCCAAUCUACCCAGUAAGACUAGAAAUGCUGUCCUGACAGUGCAUAUUCCCAGCUACUGCAAAUUUUGAACAGUUGCCUCAGAGUUGUUCUUGUGUUGCUACUGAUGCUAAGGAAUCCACUCUGUUGUAUAAACAGGAAUACUUACCACUUGGAGUUAAGCCAAUCUGAAGUUAAAAUGGUUCUGAUUGUAUAAGCUUGUCCAUUAAUUUAAAAUUUGGUUCACUUAGCCUGUUUAUUUCCCCUUCUCUUCAAAUAUUUGUUCCAUUCUCCAUCAAUCCUUGGCCUUAAUGAACGCACAAAUCCAUUAAAAAUGUUACAAAUAAGUUCAGUGCCUUGCCUGUACUAUUCAAUGUAUUUACUCUGAACAUUACUCCCUUAGUACACCAUUCAAUUAAUGACAUUUUAAAAAAUAGACUAAACAGUGGGAGCUAGUCUAUGCUAUAGCCAUAUAUUGA